GUGGGUAGUUUGACUGGGGCGGUCUCCUCCUAAAGAGUAACGGAGGAGCACGAAGGUUGGCUAAUCCUGGUCGGACAUCAGGAGGUUAGUGCAAUGGCAUAAGCCAGCUUGACUGCGAGCGUGACGGCGCGAGCAGGUGCGAAAGCAGGUCAUAGUGAUCCGGUGGUUCUGAAUGGAAGGGCCAUCGCUCAACGGAUAAAAGGUACUCCGGGGAUAACAGGCUGAUACCGCCCAAGAGUUCAUAUCGACGGCGGUGUUUGGCACCUCGAUGUCGGCUCAUCACAUCCUGGGGCUGAAGUAGGUCCCAAGGGUAUGGCUGUUCGCCAUUUAAAGUGGUACGCGAGCUGGGUUUAGAACGUCGUGAGACAGUUCGGUCCCUAUCUGCCGUGGGCGCUGGAGAACUGAGGGGGGCUGCUCCUAGUACGAGAGGACCGGAGUGGACGCAUCACUGGUGUUCGGGUUGUCAUGCCAAUGGCACU
rnacentral:rRNA from 15 species